CUUGAUCAAUUAUGAGAGGUCAAGCCUGCCCAGUGACAUUGUUCAACGGCCGCGGUAUCCUAACCGUGCGAAGGUAGCGUAAUCACUUGUCCUUUAAAUAAGGACUAGUAUGAACGGCUUCACGAAGGCUAUACUGUCUCCUUAAUCUAAUCAAUUAAACUAAUCUCCCCGUGAAGAAGCGGGGAUUCGUCUAUAAGACGAGAAGACCCUAUGGAGCUUUAAACAUCUAAGACACUUGAUUAUAUCUACUAAACUUCAUGCAACCUAUCAUUUUGUCUUAAGUUUUAGGUUGGGGUGACCACGGAGAAAAAUUAAACCUCCACGUAGAAAGAAAAUUCUUUUCUAAGCAAAAAGCCACAUCUUAACGCAUCAAUAUAUUGACUUAAAUUGACCCAAUUUCUUGCUCAACGAAC
rnacentral:rRNA from 1 species